GAUGGAGCACGCCGCGUGAGUGAAGAAGGUUUUCGGAUCGUAAAGCUCUGUUGUUGGUGAAGAAGGAUAGAGGUAGUAACUGGCCUUUAUUUGACGGUAAUCAACCAGAAAGUCACGGCUAACUACGUGCCAGCAGCCGCGGUAAUACGUAGGUGGCAAGCGUUGUCCGGAUUUAUUGGGCGUAAAGCGAGCGCAGGCGGAAAAAUAAGUCUAAUGUGAAAGCCCUCGGCUUAACCGAGGAACUGCAUCGGAAACUGUUUUUCUUGAGUGCAGAAGAGGAGAGUGGAACUCCAUGUGUAGCGGUGGAAUGCGUAGAUAUAUGGAAGAACACCAGUGGCGAAGGCGGCUCUCUGGUCUGCAACUGACGCUGAGGCUCGAAAGCAUGGGUAGCGAACAGGAUUAGAUACCCUGGUAGUCCAUGCCGUAAACGAUGAGUGCUAAGUGUUGGGAGGUUUCCGCCUCUCAGUGCUGCAGCUAACGCAUUAAGCACUCCGCCUGGGGAGUACGACCGCAAGGUUGAAACUCAAAGGAAUUGACGGGGGCCCGCACAAGCGGUGGAGCAUGUGGUUUAAUUCGAAGCAACGCGAAGAACCUUACCAGGUCUUGACAUCUAGUGCAAUCUGUAGAGAUAUGGAGUUCCCUUCGGGGACGCUAAGACAGGUGGUGCAUGGCUGUCGUCAGCUCGUGUCGUGAGAUGUUGGGUUAAGUCCCGCAACGAGCGCAACCCUUGUUAUUAGUUGCCAGCAUUAAGUUGGGCACUCUAAUGAGACUGCCGGUGACAAACCGGAGGAAGGUGGGGAUGACGUCAAGUCAU
rnacentral:rRNA from 1 species